rnacentral:rRNA from 1 species
UGAGGAAUAUUGGUCAAUGGACGAGAGUCUGAACCAGCCAAGGAGCGUGCAGGAUGACGGCCCUAUGGGUUGUAAACUGCUUUUGUUUGGGAAUAAUCGACAUUACGAGUAAUGUUUUGCAUGUACCAUUCGAAUAAGGACCGGCUAAUUCCGUGCCAGCAGCCGCGGUAAUACGGAAGGUCCAGGCGUUAUCCGGAUUUAUUGGGUUUAAAGGGAGUGUAGGCGGUUGGUUAAGCGUGUGGUGAAAUGUAGAUGCUCAACAUCUGACUUGCAGCGCGAACUGGCUGACUUGAGUACACACAACGUAGACGGAAUUCAUGGUGUAGCGGUGAAAUGCUUAGAUAUCAUGAAGAACUCCGAUUGCGAAGGCAGCUUACGGGCGUGUUACUGCCGCUUAAGCUCGAAGGUGCGGGUAUCGAACAGG